rnacentral:lncRNA from 1 species
AAGGAUGGAGGGAUGAAUAAUGGGUAAAACCCAUUAAAAUUUCCUUUUCUAAGUAACUGAUUCCCAUAUACAUAUCCUCAACAUUCCAAAUUUGCAAUGAAUUUCCAGACACGCUUCAAUUUGCAGCUGUCUUCUUCUUCUUCUGGGCAUGAUCCCCGCACCUAGAUCUGUUUCUUGUUCUAUUAACUUCCUGACCUGGGUCAAGGAUGCUAGUUGCCUUGUAUGAGGUCAAAUUCAACAAGUUGGAAUUCCAUAGUGGAGAGAGCACCAUUCAAACUCCACAAGUCUUGUCUGUGAGAGUGUGUGUCAAAAUCAAUGAGGAAAAUCCUUCAAAUUGUGGGUCCCUACAUCGAACCUCCAUU